AAGAGUUCGUAGGUGGUUGAAAAAGUUAGUGGUGAAAUCCCAGAGCUAAACUCUGGAACUGCCAUUAAAACUUUUCAGCUAGAGUAUGAUAGAGGAAAGCAGAAUUUCUAGUGUAGAGGUGAAAUUCGUAGAUAUUAGAAAGAAUACCAAUUGCGAAGGCAGCUUUCUGGAUCAUUACUGACACUGAGGAACGAAAGCAUGGGUAGCGAAGAGGAUUAGAUACCCUCGUAGUCCAUGCCGUAAACGAUGUGUGUUAGACGUUGGAAAUUUAUUUUCAGUGUCGCAGGGAAACCGAUAAACACACCGCCUGGGGAGUACGACCGCAAGGUUAAAACUCAAAUGAAUUGACGGGGACCCGCACAAGUAGUGGAGCAUGUGGUUUAAUUCGAAGAUACGCGCAGAACCUUACCAACACUUGACAUGUUCGUCGUGACUCUAAGAGAUUAGAGUUUUCGGUUCGGCCGGACGAAACACAGGUGCUGCAUGGCUGUCGUCAGCUCGUGUCGUGAGAUGUUGGGUUAAGUCCCGCAACGAGCGCAACCCUCACUUUUAGUUGCCAUCAUUAAGUUGGGCACUCUGAAAGAACUGCCAGUGAUAAGCUGGAGGAAGGUGGGGAUGACGUCAAGUCCUCAUGGCCCUUACGUGUUGGGCUACACACGUGCUACAAUGAUAUCUACAACAGGAAGCAAGACUGCGAAGUUAAGCAAAUCCCUAAAAGAUACCUCAGUUCGGAUU
rnacentral:rRNA from 1 species